GGGUUAUCCCGGGAUGUCCCUGGGAUGUCCCCAGUCUGUCCUGGGCUAUCCCUGGGCUAUUCCGGGAUGUCCCUGCGCUAUCCUCGGGAUGUCCCUGGGCUGUCCUGGGCUAUCCCUGGUCUGUCCCUGGGUUAUCCCGGAAUGUCCCUGGGAUGUCUCCAGUCUGUCCUGGUCAGUCCUGGGCUAUUCCUGGUCAGUCCCGGGAUGUCCCCGGGUUAUCCCGGGAUGUCCCUGGUCUGUCCCUGGAUGUCCCCGGGCUGUCCCAGGCUGUCCCCAGGACAUCCCCGGGCUGUCCCUGGGCUACCUCCCGUCUCUCCGCUCUGUCCCGCUCUGUCCCUUGUCUGUCCCGCUCUGUCCCUUGUCUGUCCCGCUCUGUCCCCAGUCCGUCCCCGCUCUCUCCCGGCCCGUCCCCGGUCCCUCCCUCCCGUCCCGGUCCCGGUACCGCCGGUACAUUCAGUGUUUGUCGCAGGGUCUAUGGCUCAGGGGGCGGCGCCCCUCGCUCGGGCAAUGGCAGUGCAAAAACACCCGGUGACUUUGAAAUGCAAAUUAUUUUUUUUUUUGUGCUGUUGGGUUCUUUUUUUUUCUUUUUUUUUUUCAUUCUUUCUUUUUUAGUUUUUUUUUAACAUUUUUCAUUUUUUUUUCUUCCUCUCUCUCAAAACCACAACUUCCCUUUGUCCAUUCAUUCCCUAGAAACGAACUUUUUUUUUUUGUUUGUUUUUCUUUUUUUUCUUCUUCUUUCUCUCUUUUAAAUUCCAACUGAAAAAAUAAAUCCAAAGACACUCUCACCUCCCUCUCACUGCUCUCUAUCCCGUGGGAUGCUAAAGGGAAUCCAGACUCAUGCUUUUUUAACAAAAGUGCUUAUUACUUGAAGCAAGUGCUUUGGACCAAGGGGUCGGAGAGAAACUUCCUUUUCUCCUUUCCCUUCAUUAGCAUCGUUAUUAAUCAGAGUUAUUAUUGUUAAUUAUUAUUUUUAUGGAGAGGAAAGCAGGGAGCCCUUUCGGAGAUCGCGGUGAUUGUCUCAGAGCGGAGGUGACACCAAAGGGAGCAAAAAAAUCCCAAAAUUACCCCAAAAAAAUAAAAAAAACCCAAAAAAACUCAAAUAAGAGGGAAAAGCAGCUGGGGAAAAAAAGUGAAAUGGCCACAGGGCCACCAGCAAAGGAGGGGAAGGAACAGAAUUCUCAUUUUCCAUGGAAAUGGGAGAAUUCCCAUCCUGGAAAUUUGGGAAUUCUGGAAAAUCACCCCAAAUCCUGCAAGGGCUCAGGGAUUUGGGAGGGAAUUCCUGCUGGGAAAAAGGGGAAGCAGCGAAAUGUAAACAAGUUCUCUCUCUUUUUUGUGGUUUUUUUUUUUUUUUUUUUGCCCCCCCCCCCCCCCCCCCCCCCCCCCCCCCCCCCCCCCCCCCCCCCCCCCCCCCCCCCCCCCCCCCCCC
rnacentral:lncRNA from 12 species